rnacentral:rRNA from 1 species
GUUUAUAAUUUAAAUCUUGUAUGAAUGAUUGUAUGAAAAAUAAUCUUUUUUAAUUAUAAUAAUUUAAUUUUAUAAUUAAGUUAAAAAGCUUAAUUAUUUUUAUUAGACGAGAAGACCCUAUAGAAUUUAAUUAAUUUUUUUUAUAAUAAUUUUAUUAAAUGUUAAUUUAAUUGGGGAGAUUUUAAAAUUUAAUAAACUUUUUAUUAAUAAAUCAAUUAUUUUUGUUUAUUUGAUCUUUUAUUAUUGAUUAAAAAUUUAAAUUACCUUAGGGAUAACAGCAUAAUUUUUUAAAUAAGUUCUUAUUAUUUAAAAAUUUUAU